rnacentral:rRNA from 1 species
AGCAGUCGCCGCGGUAAAACGAAGGGGGCUAGCGUUGUUCGGAUUACUGGGCGUAAAGCGCACGUAGGCGGACUUUUAAGUCAGGGGUGAAAUCCCGGGGCUCAACCCCGGAACUGCCUUUGAUACUGGGAGUCUUGAGUUCGAGAGAGGUGAGUGGAAUUGCGAGUGUAGAGGUGAAAUUCGUAGAUAUUCGCAGGAACACCAGUGGCGAAGGCGGCUCACUGGCUCGAUACUGACGCUGAGGUGCGAAAGCGUGGGGAGCAAACAGGAUUAGAUACCCCCGUAGUCCCUGUCUCUUAUACA